rnacentral:rRNA from 1 species
AGAGGUGGCGAGCGUUGUUCGGAUUUACUGGGGCGUAAAGGGGUGCGUAGGCGGCCAUGUGUGUCGGAUGUGAAAUCUCACUGCUCAACGGGUGAAACUGCAUCCGAAACUGCGUGGCUAGAGUACAGGAGAGGAGAGAGGAAUUCUCGGUGUAGCGGUGAAAUGCGUUGAUAUCGAGAAGAACACCGGUGGCGAAGGCGUCUCUCUGGACUGAUACUGACGCUGAGGCACGAAAGCUGGGGGAGCGAACAGGAUUAGAUACCCUGGUAGUCCCAGCCGUAAACGUUGUGCACUUGGUGUAGGGACCGUUGUCGUCUCUGUGCCGGAGCUAACGCGUUAAGUGCACCGCCUGGGGAGUACGGCCGCAAGGCUA